rnacentral:rRNA from 1 species
GAUGAACGCUGGCGGCGUGCUUAACACAUGCAAGUCGAACGAUGAAGCCCAGCUUGCUGGGUGGAUUAGUGGCGAACGGGUGAGUAACACGUGAGUAACCUGCCCUUAACUCUGGGAUAAGCCUGGGAAACUGGGUCUAAUACCGGAUAGGAGCGUCCACCGCAUGGUGGGUGUUGGAAAGAUUUAUCGGUUUUGGAUGGACUCGCGGCCUAUCAGCUUGCUGGUGAGGUAAUGGCUCACCAAGGCGACGACGGGUAGCCGGCCUGAGAGGGUGACCGGCCACACUGGGACUGAGACACGGCCCAGACUCCUACGGGAGACAGCAGUGGGGAAUAUUGCACAAUGGGCGCAAGCCUGAUGCAGCGACGCCGCGUGAGGGAUGACGGCCUUCGGGUUGUAAACCUCUUUCAGUAGGGAAGAAGCGAAAGUGACGGUACCUGCAGAAGAAGCACCGGCUAACUACGUG